rnacentral:rRNA from 1 species
GACGAACGCUGGCGGCGUGCCUAAUACAUGCAAGUCGAACGCAGUGGGGACGGGUGAGUGACACGUGGGUAACCUCCCAUCAGAGGGGAUAACACUUGGAAACAGGUGCUAAACCGAUACUGAUGGAUGGACCCGCGGGGCAUUAGCUAGUUGGUGAGGUAACGGCUCACCAAGUCCACGAUGCAUAGCCGGGCUGGGCGGGUGAUCGACCACACUGGGACGGAGACACGGCCCAGACUCCUACGGGAGGCAGCAGUAGGGAAUCUUCGGCAAUGGACGAAAGGCGGACCGAGCAACGCCGCGUGAGUGAAGAAGGUUUUCGGAUCGUAAAACUCUGUUGUUCGAGAAGCGGUAUCUAACCAGAAAGCCACGGCUAACUACGUGCCAGCAGCCGCGGUAAUUC